GGAAGUAAAAGGUCGUAACAAGGUCUCCGUUGGUGAACCAGCGGAGGG
rnacentral:rRNA from 1 species